rnacentral:rRNA from 1 species
GCCCGCUACAGAAACUCAAAUGAAUUGACGGGGCCCGGCACAAGACGGAGGAACAGUGUGGUUUAAUUCGAUGAUACGCGAGGAACCUUACCCGGGCUUGAAUUGCAGAGGAAUAUAGUUGAAAGAUUAUCGCCGCAAGGUCUCUGUGAAGGUGCUGCAUGGUUGUCGUCAGCUCGUGCCGUGAGGUGUCGGCUUAAGUGCCAUAACGAGCGCAACCCUUAUCAUUAGUUACUAACAGGUCAUGCUGAGGACUCUAGUGAGACUGCCGUCGUAAGAUGUGAGGAAGGUGGGGAUGACGUCAAAUCAGCACGGCCCUUACGUCCGGGGCUACACACGUGUUACAAUGGGGGGUACAGAGGGCAGCUACCGGGCGACCGGAUGCCAAUCCCAAAAACCUCUCUCAGUUCGGAUCGAAGUCUGCAACCCGACUUCGUGAAGCUGGAUUCGCUAGUAAUCGCGCAUCAGCCACGGCGCGGUGAGUACGUUCCCGGGCCUU